rnacentral:rRNA from 1 species
GAUGAACGCUGGCGGUCUGCCUAAUACAUGCAAGUCGAGCGAACAGACGAGGAGCUUACUCCUCUGACGUUAGCGGCGGACGGGUGAGUAACACGUGGAUAACCUACCUAUAAGACUGGGAUAACUUCGGGAAACCGGAGCUAAUACCGGAUAACAUGUUGAACCGCAUGGUUCAACAGUGAAAGACGGUCUUGCUGUCACUUAUAGAUGGAUCCGCGUCGCAUUAGCUAGUUGGUAAGGUAACGGCUUACCAAGGCAACGAUGCGUAGCCGACCUGAGAGGGUGAUCGGCCACACUGGAACUGAGACACGGUCCAGACUCCUACGGGAGGCAGCAGUAGGGAAUCUUCCGCAAUGGGCGAAAGCCUGACGGAGCAAUGCCGCGUGAGUGAAGAAGGUCUUCGGAUCGUAAAACUCUGUUAUUAGGGAAGAACAAAUGUGUAAGUAACUAUGCACGUCUUGACGGUACCUAAUCAGAAAGCCACGGCUAACUACGUG